rnacentral:rRNA from 1 species
UACAGGGGGUGCAAACGUUGCUCGGAAUUAUUGGGCGUAAAGCGCGCGUAGGCGGCUACUUAAGUCGGAUGUGAAAGCCCUUGGCUCAACUGAGGAAGUGCACCCGAAACUGAGUGGCUAGAGUACGAAAGAGGGUCGCGGAAUUCCCGGUGUAGAGGUGAAAUUCGUAGAUAUCGGGAGGAACACCGGUGGCGAAGGCGGCGACCUGGGUCGAUACUGACGCUGAGACGCGAAAGCGUGGGGAGCGAACAGG